rnacentral:lncRNA from 1 species
AGUAAACUCCCUCCUGAGCUUCGUGGUCAGCGCAACAACAUCAGGUCCACCAAACCCGAAUUUUCUUUUGUCUGCUAAUUUUGGGUUUUUCUUAUUAUGAUCAUAAUUUUUGAAUUUUGGGAUGGUGGGCACUGGGCAGGUCAGAAACAGAUAUAAUCAAUGUGGUUGAGCAAAGAAUAUGGCAUUCAAUGGAAGAGGGGCAGUUUGAGAAUUUACCAGGAAAAGGGAAGCCCCUCAACUUAACUAGAAACCCUCAUGCAGACCCAGCUGAGGACACUCUGUACAGAAUUCUAUCCAAAAAUGGAUGUGCACCGCGGUGGGUCGAGCUCAACAAGGAGAUAAGGAGCCAGGUGUCUGAGUGGAGG